UACAAGGCUUUAAUGUUUUGUAAUUGGGAUGAGUAGAAUUUAAACCGCGAUACAAGUAUCAAUUGGAGGGCAAGUCUGGUGCCAGCAGCCGCGGUAAUUCCAGCUCCAAUAGCGUAUAUUAAAAUUGUUGCGGUUAAAACGCUCGUAGUUGAAUAUUUGCUGAAAAUAGCUGGUCCAUCCUAGUGAUGAGCACCUGGCACGUUUUCAGCUCUUCGUUGGGGAUUUUGUUUGCACUUUACUGUGUGGCAUACGAACCAAUUCUUUUACUUUGAGGAAAUGAGAGUGUUUCAAGCAGGCGUUUGUCGUGAAUACGUUAGCAUGGAAUAAUAACACAGGACCUUGUUCCGAAGUUGUUGGUUUUUGGAGCGAGGUAAUCAAAAUAGGGAUAGUUGGGGGCAUUCGUAUUUAACUGUCAGAGGUGAAAUUCUUGGAUUUUUUAAAGACGAACUACUGCGAAAGCAUCUGCCCAGGAUGUUUUUAUUAAUCAAGAACGAAAGUUAGGGGAUCGAAGACGAUCAGAUACCGUCCUAGUCUUAACCAUAAACUAUGCCGACUAGAGAUUGGGGACGUCAUUUCUUGACGUCCUCAGCACCUUAUGAGAAAUCAAAGUCUUUGGGUUCCGGGGGGAGUAUGGUCGCAAGGCUGAAACUUAAAGGAAUUGACGGAAGGGCACCACCAGGAGUGGAGCCUGCGGCUUAAUUUGACUCAACACGGGAAAACUUACCAGGUCCAGACAUAGGUAGGAUUGACAGACUGAUAGCUCUUUCUUGAUUCUAUGGGUGGUGGUGCAUGCCGGUCUUAGUUA
rnacentral:rRNA from 1 species